UGAAUGGGGCAACCCACCUGAUACUUUGUUAUUAUUACCCUUCGGGGUGAUUAAUAAUGAGGUAAAACAGGUAUUUUUAGACUGAAUACAUAGGUCUAAAAAAGCAAACCCGGGGAACUGAAACAUCUAAGUACCCGGAGGAAAGGAAAUCAACAGAUACUUCCCUAGUAGCGGCGAGCGAACGGGAACCAGCCGAGCUGUGAGAGUGAUUAGAAUGCGUUGGAAUGCGCAACCAUAGUGGGUGAUAGUGCCCGUAUAAGAAGCUUGAUCAGACGUAUUAAGUAGGGCGGAACGCGAAAAAUUCUGUCUGAACAUCCC
rnacentral:rRNA from 1 species